AUUGUCCCUUUCACUUUGACUAU
rnacentral:piRNA from 1 species